CCCUUAGACGUUCUGGGCCGCACGCGCGCUACACUGACCAGUGCAACAAGCAUCCGUCCUUGGCCGACAGGCUCGGGCAAUCUUUGAACGCUGGUCGUGAUGGGGAUAGACUUUUGCAAUUUUUGGUCUUCAACGAGGAAUUCCUAGUAAACGCAAGUCAUCAACUUGCAUUGAUUACGUCCCUGCCCUUUGUACACACUGCCCGUCGCACCUACCGAUUGAAUGGUCCGGUGAAGCCUCCGGAUUGGCGCGCACCCCGGUGCCGCCGAGAAGUUGGCUAAACCUUACCAUUUAGAGGAAGGUGAANUCGUANCA
rnacentral:rRNA from 1 species